GGGGGGCAAAUGUUGUUCGGAAUCACUGGGCGUAAAGGGAGCGUAGGCGGUUUUUUAAGUCCGAUGUGAAAGCCCUGGGCUCAACCUGGGAAUGGCACUGGAUACUGGCAGGCUAGAAUGUGGUAGAGGGGUGCGGAAUUUCCGGUGUAGCGGUGAAAUGCGUAGAGAUCGGAAGGAACAUCCGUGGCGAAGGCGGCACCCUGGACCAACAUUGACGCUGAGGCACGAAAGCGUGGGGAGCA
rnacentral:rRNA from 1 species